GAUGAAGAACGUAGCGAAAUGCGAUACGUAAUGUGAAUUGCAGAAUUCAGUGAAUCAUCGAGUCUUUGAACGCACAUUGCGCCCCCUGGUAUUCCGGGGGGCAUGCCUGUCCGAGCGUCAUUGCUGCCCGUCAAGCGCGGCUUGUGUGUUGGGCCGCCGUCCGCCUUCCCCCCCGGGGGGAGGGGGACGGGCCCGAAAGGCAGCGGCGGCACCGCGUCCGGUCCUCGAGCGUAUGGGGCUCUGUCACCCGCUCUGGAGGCCCGGCCGGCGCCCGCCGACCCCCAACCUUCUUCUAACCAGGUUGACCUCGGAUCAGGUAGGGAUACCCGCUGAACUUAAGCAUAUCAAUAAGCGGAGGA
rnacentral:misc_RNA from 1 species